rnacentral:rRNA from 1 species
AUUGAACGCUGGCGGCAGGCCUAACACAUGCAAGUCGAGCGGAUGAAGGGAGCUUGCUCCUGGAUUCAGCGGCGGACGGGUGAGUAAUGCCUAGGAAUCUGCCUGGUAGUGGGGGAUAACGUCCGGAAACGGGCGCUAAUACCGCAUACGUCCUGAGGGAGAAAGUGGGGGAUCUUCGGACCUCACGCUAUCAGAUGAGCCUAGGUCGGAUUAGCUAGUUGGUGGGGUAAAGGCCUACCAAGGCGACGAUCCGUAACUGGUCUGAGAGGAUGGUCAGUCACACUGGAACUGAGACACGGUCCAGACUCCUACGGGAGGCAGCAGUGGGGAAUAUUGGACAAUGGGCGAAAGCCUGAUCCAGCCACGCCGCGUGUGUGAAGAAGGUCUUCGGAUUGUAAAGCACUUUAAGUUGGGAGGAAGGGCAGUAAGUUAAUACCUUGCUGUUUUGACGUUACCAACAGAAUAAGCACCGGCUAACUUCGUG